rnacentral:lncRNA from 1 species
UACACCCUUCUGCAGCGAAUCUGUGAGCUAAGAUCUCGUUGAUGGUGUCAAAUACGAGCUUCCUCUUGCUUCUCUCUAUCAGGUUCACCGUUUGUUGUUGUCCAAAUCCUCUGCCUUUGUGCUUGUUGUCCUGUGGACUCACAUUGCUUGUCUUGUUCUGUUCCAGUACAAAGAAAAGGCUCGGGUUGAUCGGUAGGUGUGCUUGGUGCAGCUGAAUGCUUAUCAUGCUGUAGUCGAUAUCUCGUAGAAGCCCUGAUGCCAACAGUAUCUCUGAGAUGUACUUGUGGUCACCAUUUUUAAAUUCAGCAUCUUCUUCUAUGAAAUCCUCCAUAAGUUCGGCAUCAGGCUGCUUGAGAGUUGUGUUACUCUCAGGCCACACAAUCGAUCUACAUAAGUUGCUGUGCUUGUUCAUCCACUGGGACUCUUCAGAACUUAGAUUAUCGUCCUCUGUGGCAAGAGAGAUGGUAAAGGUGAGAAACUUUAGACAAAUCAAAACUUGCAAUCUGGUUUGAAUAUUGUGGAUAAAUGUAACGAGUUUAAUAUUAAUGAACUUAUAGUUUAACAUUUCUUUUCUAGGCUCAAAGAAAAAUUUGAUGCCAGUCGGAAAUUUUUUGAACCUUCCCAUUGACUCACCUUUAAAGACAACGGAUAUCUUCCGCACAG